CUCGUAGGCGGCCAACUAAGUCCGACGUGAAAUCCCCAGGCUUAACCUGGGAACUGCGUCGGAUACUGGAUGGCUUGAAUCCGGGAGAGGGAUGCGGAAUUCCAGGUGUAGCGGUGAAAUGCGUAGAUAUCUGGAGGAACACCGGUGGCGAAGGCGGCAUCCUGGACCGGCAUUGACGCUGAUGAGCGAAAGCCAGGGGAGCAAACGGGAUUAGAUACCCCGGUAGUCCUGGCCCUAAACGAUGAAUGCUUGGUGUGGCGGGUAUCGAUCCCUGCCGUGCCGAAGCUAACGCAUUAAGCAUUCCGCCUGGGGAGUACGGUCGCAAGGCUGAA
rnacentral:rRNA from 1 species